GACAGAGGGUGCAAACGUUGUUCGGAAUUACUGGGCGUAAAGCGCGUGUAGGCUGUUCUGCAAGUCGGGUGUGAAAGCCCCGGGCUCAACCUGGGAAGUGCACUCGAAACUGCAGAACUCGAGUCCUGGAGAGGAAGGCGGAAUUCUCGGUGUAGAGGUGAAAUUCGUAGAUAUCGAGAGGAACACCGGUGGCGAAGGCGGCCUUCUGGACAGUGACUGACGCUGAGACGCGAAAGCGUGGGGAGCAAACAGGAUUAAGAAACCCUGAGUACGUAC
rnacentral:rRNA from 1 species